rnacentral:rRNA from 1 species
GGGGGGGCUUAAUGGCAGUCGAACGGGGUUUUGUAUUGGACUUUAUCGGAAGGAAGAGACAAAACUUAGUGGCGGACGGGUGAGUAACGCGUGGGUAACCUGCCUUGUACAGGGGGAUAACAGCUGGAAACGGCUGCUAAUACCGCAUAAGCGCACAGAGGCGCAUGCCUCGGUGUGAAAAACUCCGGUGGUACAAGAUGGACCCGCGUCUGAUUAGGUAGUUGGUGAGGUAACGGCUCACCAAGCCGACGAUCAGUAGCCGGCCUGAGAGGGUGAUCGGCCACAUUGGGACUGAGACACGGCCCAAACUCCUACGGGAGGCAGCAGUGGGGGAUAUUGCACAAUGGGGGAAACCCUGAUGCAGCGACGCCGCGUGAGUGAAGAAGUAUUUCGGUAUGUAAAGCUCUAUCAGCAGGGAAGAAAAUGACGGUACCUGACUAAGAAGCCCCGGCUAACUACGUGCCAGCAGCCGCGGUAAUACGUAGGGGGCAAGCGUUAUCCGGAUUUACUGGGUGUAAAGGGAGCGUAGGUGGCAAGGCAAGUCAGAAGUGAAACCCUCGGGCUCAACCUGAGGCAUGCUUUUGAAACUGUCAAGCUGGAGUGCUGGAGAGGUAAGCGGAAUUCCUAGUGUAGCGGUGAAAUGCGUAGAUAUUAGGAGGAACACCGGUGGCGAAGGCGGCUUACUGGACAGUAACUGACACUGAGGCUCGAAAGCGUGGGGAGCAAACAGGAUUAGAUACCCUGGUAGUC